rnacentral:rRNA from 1 species
UACGUAGGGACCAAGCGUUGUUCGGAUUUACUGGGCGUAAAGGGCGCGUAGGUGGCAAUUCAAGUCAGCUGUGAAAUCUCCGGGCUUAACUCGGAACGGUCAGCUGAUACUGCUUUGCUAGAGUGCAGAAGGGGCAAUCGGAAUUCUUGGUGUAGCGGUGAAAUGCGUAGAUAUCAAGAGGAACACCUGAGGUGAAGACGGGUUGCUGGGCUGACACUGACGCUGAGGCGCGAAAGCUAGGGUAGCAAACGGG